rnacentral:rRNA from 1 species
GACGAACGCUGGCGGCGUGCUUAACACAUGCAAGUCGAACGAAGUGGCGAACGGGUGAGUAACGCGUAAUCAACCUGCCCUUCAGAGGGGGACAACAGUUGGAAACGACUGCUAAUACCGCAUACUGAAGGAGGGGAUUGCGUCUGAUAAGCUAGUUGGAGGGGUAACGCCCCACAAGGGCGAUGAUCAGUAUCCGGUCUGAGAGGAUGAACGGCAACAUUGUGACUGAGACACGUCCCAGCCGCCUACGAGAGUCAGCAGUAGGGAAUCUUCGGCAAGUGACGAAAGUCUGACCGAGCAACGCCGCGUGAGUGAAGAGGGUUUUCGGAUCGUAAAACUCUGUUGUUAUAGAAGCGGUAUCUAACCAGAAAGCCACGGCUAACUACGUGCCAGCAGCCGCGGUAAUUC